AGCAGCCGCGGUAAUUCCAGCUCCAAUAGCGUAUAUUAAAGUUGUUGCAGUUAAAAAGCUCGUAGUUGAAUUUCGGGGUUAGUAGAUUGGUCGUGCCACGGGUAUGUACUGGUCUUACUGAUUCCUCCUUCCUGAUGAACCGUAAUGCCAUUAAUUUGGUGUUGCGGGGAGACUGGACUGUUACUUUGAAAAAAUUAGAGUGUUUAAAGCAGGCUUACGCUUGAAUACAUUAGCAUGGAAUAAUGAAAUAGGACGUUCGAUCCUAUUUUGUUGGUUUCUAGGAUUGACGUAAUGAUUAAUAGGGAUAGUUGGGGGCAUUAGUAUUCAAUUGUCAGAGGUGAAAUUCUUGGAUUUAUUGAAGACUAACUACUGCGAAAGCAUUUGCCAAGGAUGUUUUCAUUAAUCAAGAACGAAAGUUAGGGGAUCGAAGACGAUCAGAUACUGUCGUAGUCUUAACCAUAAACUAUGCCGACUAGGGAUCGGAUGAUGUUAAUUUUUAAUGACUCAUUCGGCGCCUUAC
rnacentral:rRNA from 1 species